rfam:Picoides pubescens contig35236, whole genome shotgun sequence.
CCAAAGGCUCUUCUAAGGGCCACCCACAUAAACCAGAAAAGAGCUG